GUUUUCUCAGAUUGGGUUCAGAUGACAGUUUAUCAGUUGACUUUGGGUUUCAGAUGAAGUGUUGUUCAGAGUUUGAGCCGAAGCUUCGAUCCUGUGUUCUGAGAUGCACAACCUGCCAGUCUUGUCUGCAUCAUUUGCAUCAUAGCAUGUUUAUUUUCAAAAGAAACGCAAUAUAAAAAAAAAAGAAUUGAAAAAAAAAUGAAAAAAG
rnacentral:lncRNA from 1 species